UCCCUGAUAACUGAGUUGGUAAAGAAUCUGCCUGCAAUGCAGGAGAUCCCAGUUUGAUUUCUGGGUUGGGAAG
rfam:Ovis aries breed Texel chromosome 2, whole genome shotgun sequence.